rnacentral:rRNA from 1 species
AGUGAACGCUGGCGGUAGGCCUAACACAUGCAAGUCGAACGGCAGCACAGUAAGAGCUUGCUCUUACGGGUGGCGAGUGGCGGACGGGUGAGGAAUACAUCGGAAUCUACUUUUUCGUGGGGGAUAACGUAGGGAAACUUACGCUAAUACCGCAUACGACCUACGGGUGAAAGCAGGGGAUCUUCUGACCUUGCGCGAUUGAAUGAGCCGAUGUCGGAUUAGCUAGUUGGCGGGGUAAAGGCCCACCAAGUCGACGAUCCGUAGCUGGUCUGAGAGGAUGAUCAGCCACACUGGAACUGAGACACGGUCCAGACUCCUACUGGAGGCAGCGGUGGGGAAUAUUGGACAAUGGGCGCAAGCCUGAUCCAGCCAUACCGCGUGGGUGAAGAAGGCCUUCGGGUUGUAAAGACCUUUUGUUGGGAAAGAAAAGCAGCAGGUUAAUACCCCGCUGUUCUGACGGUACCCAAAGAAUAAGCACCGGCUAACUUCGUG